GCCCUCCGCCUCCUCCGCAUCGCCGCGUCUCCCCUCCGCGCCUUCUCCGCCCUCCGCCUCCUCCGCAUCGCCGCGCCUCCCCUCCGCGCCGAUCCGGUCUCCGCCCUCCGCCUCCUCCGCAUCGCCGUCAUCUGCCGGUCGGAGCCGCGCGCGAUCGACGCGCCUCCUCUGCAUCGCCGCGAGUGCGCGUCAGGCGCCUCCCCGCCGCAUCGCCGUGCCUCCUCCGCAUCCCUCCCCUACGCGCAUCCUCCACCCUGGUCCCUCGCCUCCGCCUGCGAGGAGGAACGCUUCGCCGGGCGCCUCUCCUCGGUAUAUGCACCUUUUGCAGAGUAUUUUAAAGACAAAUGGUGUAGCUCGCCAGGGACUGCAUUUGCGUCACUCGUCCGCGCCGCCAUAACUGCAUCGACAAGCCUCGCCGAUCUGCGACGCCAUAACUGCAUCGACAAGCCUCGCCGAUCUGCGACGCCAUAACUGCAUCGACAAGCCUCGCCGAUCUGCAUCGACGCACUGCCACCGCAUCCACCUCGAGCGUCAACGCCGCCAAGAGGUAAAAUCCCCUCGACAAGCUGCUUCAGCGACCGGUAUCCUCGGUCUCCGCCUCAACCGCCGCCGCCGCCACCACCGGAUCCCUGCAUCGUCGAUUCUACUGCACACCUGCGAGCAUAGCAGUGGAUGUGAGGGUGUCGUGGUCCUGCUACAACCCUAACAAGUGAAACUAGCCGUUGGAGUGCUUCUUUAAGUAGACAAGGCAUAAUGGAGAAUAUGGGUGAGACAUUAAUUUGUUUUUUCUCAAAUUUGCUAACUGACUAAGAUGGAAUACUGGAUAACAUAAUCAUCCCGUGUGAAUAUCUCCAAAGAACUGGAUAAGGGCUCAUUCAGAUGUAUAUGUCAUUGGUUGUUCAACACAUUAAUUAUGCAUUGAUGACUGAUUGGUGAUGAUUGUACCUUAUGCGCAUCACGCUGACAAGUAACUUGAGAUGUUUAUAUUUGCAUGGGAGACAACUUGUGUAUGUCAUAUCUUUGUUUGACCCUGCACACGAUUUCAUAAUCGCUUUAUUGUACUGGGCAUUUUCGCCAUAAUACAUGCUUAAAACAUUGCAAUGUAUGGUUAUGGCACUAUUAUAAAAGCCAUGAUUAACCACUAAUGUAAAAAUACGUAUAUUAGGUGUUGACGCAACGAACCCACAAACUGAAGAGCGUAUUGCAUUCCGGGAUAUCACCAACAGAUUGGAUGUAUUGCAAACGACACCUAUAACACCUUCUGAUGAGGUAUUACGUAAGCGGGAAGCACAUAACCGAAGCCAACGUGAAUACCGUGCAAGGAAAAAGGCUGCAGCAAAUACCCCGUGUUCUGCAACACUGCGGCAACCAACUACUGCUUCUCUUUCUAAGGAAUUUGAAAUUGUCAAUGCCCAGCUGGCUGAAGCUACCAAUGAUGCCAGAGAGGAAAGGAACCGUAAGCAACGUGAAUAUCGCCAAAAGAAGAAGGUUGGGUCAACUAAUCUUGAUGGUAGUGUGACCUCUUUAACACCAGUACAACCAGCAAAUGAGGAAAGGAACAGAAAGCAACGCGAAUACCGUGCGAGGAAGAAGGCCAAGUCAGACAUUGUUAGGGGAUCAAAUUCCCAAUCAACCGAUCAUAUUGCAACAAGCGUACUAU